rnacentral:lncRNA from 1 species
AGAGAAAUUAGAGGUGUGUGUUCCAAAAUCAACCUGAUAUCGAAACAGUUGGGGGGCGUCCGUAUUUUCAAGGUGGCAAGAAGAGAGACGGUUGCGGCCCAUGAAAGACAACCUUGAAUUGCCAACAGCAUGCUUGUAGAACCAAUAUUGCAAAUGGAUAAAGAAUCUUUGAAUAUUGCUUUGAAAUACUUUCUCUUUGAAACAAGAAAACAAAAUGGCCCAGAAUAUCCCGCCAACAGCUUUUAUGCACUCUUCGCGGCGAUUGAGUCAGCACUGAGAGAGAAUGGUUCAGUCAUUAACUUAUUUAAAGAUGAUGAAUUUAUUGAAGCUCGCAAGUGUUUAGAUGCUGCUAUGCGCAAUCUCUCGCAGAAGGGUUUAGGAAGUUCCAGUAGGAAAAUGACUGAAACCAUAUCAUGUGAUGAAGAGGAAUUACUCUGGAAGAAUGGAUCAUUGGGUGAAGACAGUCCAAGACAGCUGCUUGAUUCAAUAUUGUAUCUCACAGGACUGAAUUUCGCCUUACGAGGUGGAAAGGAGCACCGGAACUUUAGACUAUAUUCCUAGCCACAAAUAACAGGGCCGCACGUGGAUGAGAAAGGUAGACGUUAUCUUUUGUACAAAGAAAAUGCCGAUCCAUCUAGAUGCUAUGUCAGGCUGUUUCAAAAGUAUCGUUCUCUUUGUUCCGAUGGAAAGGGCACAGACUACUUUUACUUCAGUCCAAUGAUCAAUCACCGUCCACAGAAAUGGUUCACUCGUCUACCAGUUGGGCACAAUACUCUACAGUCCACCAUUAAGAGACUCUGCAAGGCUGCUUGGAUUACAGGUUCGAAAACUAACCACUCUUUGAGAGCAGGUACCAGACCCUUCCAGGCAAAUGUUGACGAGCAAUUUAUUUGUGAAGUAACUGGACAUCGAAGUGAAGCUGUAAGGGCCUACAAGAGACCAUCUGCCGAUCAAAAGGAGAGGGUUUCUCGGCUCUUGACUGGAACAAAGGUUGCUCGGACAUCAACCAAAACAGUGACCGCUGAAGCAGAUAUCGUUUCCACUGUGCAGAAUGCGACAACUUCGACUUCUGCACCACUCGAUGACGAUGUUACGCGUGAAAAGUCU